GAUGAACGCUGGCGGCGUGCCUAAUACAUGCAAGUCGAGCGAACAGACGAGGAGCUUGCUCCUCUGACGUUAGCGGCGGACGGGUGAGUAACACGUGGAUAACCUACCUAUAAGACUGGGAUAACUUCGGGAAACCGGAGCUAAUACCGGAUAAUAUAUUGAACCGCAUGGUUCAAUAGUGAAAGACGGUUUUGCUGUCACUUAUAGAUGGUUCCGCGCCGCAUUAGCUAGUUGGUAAGGUAACGGCUUACCAAGGCAACGAUGCGUAGCCGACCUGAGAGGGUGAUCGGCCACACUGGAACUGAGACACGGUCCAGACUCCUACGGGAGGCAGCAGUAGGGAAUCUUCCGCAAUGGGCGAAAGCCUGACGGAGCAACGCCGCGUGAGUGAUGAAGGUCUUCGGAUCGUAAAACUCUGUUAUUAGGGAAGAACAAAUGUGUCAGUAACUAUGCACGUCUUGACGGUACCUAAUCAGAAAGCCACGGCUAACUACGUG
rnacentral:rRNA from 1 species